UAUGCUGAAAGUUAUUAAGUACACUUGCUUUCCAAGCAAAAAGACCUAUAAACUAAGGUCAGCAUAAC
rnacentral:tRNA from 1 species